rnacentral:rRNA from 1 species
UGCCAGCAGCCGCGGUAAUACCGGCAGCACGAGUGAUGGCCGAUUUUAUUGGGCCUAAAGCGUCCGUAGCUUGCUGUGUAAGUCCAUUGGGAAAUCCACGCGCUCAACGCGUGGGCGUCCGGUGGAAACUGCACGGCUUGGGGCCGAGAGACUCGACGGGUACGUCCGGGGUAGGAGUGAAAUCCUAUAAUCCUGGACGGACCGCCGGUGGCGAAAGCACUUCGAGAAAACGGAUCCGACAGUGAGGGACGAAAGCCAGGGUCUCCAACCGGAUUAGAUACCCUAGUAGUCC